rnacentral:rRNA from 1 species
GACGAACGCUGGCGGCGUGCCUAAUACAUGCAAGUCGAACGCAGUGGGGACGGGUGAGUAACACGUGGGUAACCUCCCAUCAGAGGGGAUAACCCUUGGAAACAGGUGCUAAACCGAUACUGAUGGAUGGACCCGCGGUGCAUUAGGUAGUUGGUGGGGUAACGGGUCAACAAGGCCACGAUGCAUAGCAGAGCUGGGAGGGUGAUCGGCCACACUGGGACGGAGACACGGCCCAGACUCCUACGGGAGGCAGCAGGAGGGAAUCUUCGGCAAUGGACGAAAGUCUGACCGAGCAACGCCGCGUGAGUGAAGAAGGUUUUCGGAUCGUAAAACUCUGUUGUUAGAGAAGCGGUAUCUAACCAGAAAGCCACGGCUAACUACGUGACAGCCGCCGCGGUAAUUC